rnacentral:rRNA from 1 species
AGCGAACGUUUGCGGCGGGCCUAACACAUGCAAGUCGAACGCACUAGCAAUAGUGAGUGGCGCACGGGUGCGUAACACGUGGGUAAUCAACCCUUCAGCCUGGGAUAACGACUCGAAAGGGUCGCUAAUACCGGAUACGGCGCGAGAGGCUUCGGCUUCUCACGAGAAAGCCACGCAAGGGGCACUGAAGGACGAGCCUGCGGCCCAUCAGCUAGUUGGUGAGGUAAGAGCUCACCAAGGCUAAGACGGGUAGCUGGUCUGAGAGGAUGAUCAGCCACACUGGAACUGAGACACGGUCCAGACUCCUACGGGAGGCAGCAGUGGGGAAUAUUGCGCAAUGGGCGAAAGCCUGACGCAGCCACGCCGCGUGAGCGAUGAAGGCCUCGGUCGUAAAGACUCUGUGGGAGGAGACGAAGAAAGACCUAGUGAAGAGCAGGCCUUGACGGUAGUCUCCUUAGCAAGCACCGGCGUAACUCCGU